rnacentral:rRNA from 1 species
CGCGUAGGCGGGGAUGCAAGUCAGAUGUGAAAUCUAUGGGCUUAACCCAUAAACUGCAUUUGAAACUGUAUCUCUUGAGUGUCGGAGAGGUAGACGGAAUUCCUAGUGUAGCGGUGAAAUGCGUAGAUAUUAGGAGGAACACCAGUGGCGAGGGCGGUCUACUGGACGAUAACUGACGCUGAGGCGCGAAAGCGUGGGGAGCAAACA